rnacentral:rRNA from 1 species
CCAGCAGCCGCGGUAAUUCCAGCUCCAAUAGCGUAUAUUUAAGUUGCUGCAGUUAAAAAGCUCGUAGUUGGAUUUCGGGUGGGCCCUGCCGGUCCGCCGUUUCGGUGUGCACUUGCAGGUCCCACCUUGUUGCCGGGGACGUGUUCCUGGGCUUCACUGUCCGGGACACGGAGUCGGCGAGGUUACUUUGAGUAAAUUAGAGUGUUCAAAGCAGGCCUACGCUCUGAAUACAUUAGCAUGGAAUAACACGAUAGGACUCUGGCCUAUCUUGUUGGUCUGUAGGACCGGAGUAAUGAUUAAGAGGGACAGUCGGGGGCAUUCGUAUUUCAUUGUCAGAGGUGAAAUUCUUGGAUUUAUGAAAGACGAACUACUGCGAAAGCAUUUGCCAAGGAUGUUUUCAUUAAUCAAGAACGAAAGU